rnacentral:rRNA from 1 species
GAUGAACGCUGGCGGCGUGCCUAAUACAUGCAAGUCGAGCGAACGGACGAGAAGCUUGCUUCUCUGAUGUUAGCGGCGGACGGGUGAGUAACACGUGGAUAACCUACCUAUAAGACUGGGAUAACUUCGGGAAACCGGAGCUAAUACCGGAUAAUAUUUUGAACCGCAUGGUUCAAAAGUGAAAGACGGUCUUGCUGUCACUUAUAGAUGGAUCCGCGCUGCAUUAGCUAGUUGGUAAGGUAACGGCUUACCAAGGCAACGAUGCAUAGCCGACCUGAGAGGGUGAUCGGCCACACUGGAACUGAGACACGGUCCAGACUCCUACGGGAGGCAGCAGUAGGGAAUCUUCCGCAAUGGGCGAAAGCCUGACGGAGCAACGCCGCGUGAGUGAUGAAGGUCUUCGGAUCGUAAAACUCUGUUAUUAGGGAAGAACAUAUGUGUAAGUAACUGUGCACACCUUGACGGUACCUAAUCAGAAAGCCACGGCUAACUACGUG